UUAAGUGUCAAAAGGGCCUCUACGUAUUGGCUUCGGCUCCGCGCACGCCUCCCAAAGGUCCGGAACACCAUUGUUCCGUGAUGGGAAAGACAUACAAUAAAAUACCUACUUGAACCUAUAUACGUCCCACUGUUGGGCACAGGCCUCCUCUCAUGCGCAAGAGGGCUUGGGCUAUAGUCCCCACGCUAGCCCAAUGCGGAUUGGGAACUUCACAUACACCUUUGAAUUUCUUCGCACUUGUAUGUAGCUAUCACGUGCGGUGCGGUGGUGGCCGAGUGGAUAUGACGUCCGACUUUCAAUCCGGAGGUCGCGGGUUCAAAUCCUGGCUCGUACCAAUGAGUUUUUCGGAACUUAUGUACGAAAUAUCAUUUGAUAUUUACCACUAGCUUUUCGGUGAAGGAAAACAUCGUGAGGAAACCUGCAUACAUCUGCGAAGGAAUUCAAAGGUGUAUGUGAAGUCCCCAAUCCGCAUUGGGCUAGCAUGGGGACUAUAGCCCAAGCCCUCUCGCGCAUGAGAGGAGGCCUGUGCCCAGCAGUGGGACGUAUAUAGGCUGAAA